rnacentral:rRNA from 1 species
UACAGAGGGUGCGAGCGUUAAUCGGAAUUACUGGGCGUAAAGCGUGCGCAGGCGGUUGUGCAAGACAGAUGUGAAAUCCCCGGGCUCAACCUGGGAACUGCAUUUGUGACUGCACGGCUGGAGUGCGGCAGAGGGGGGAUGGAAUUCCGCGUGUAGCAGUGAAAUGCGUAGAUAUGCGGAGGAACACCGAUGGCGAAGGCAAUCCCCCUGGGCCUGCACUGACGCUCAUGCACGAAAGCGUGGGGAGCAAACAGG